CAGCAAAGUAGUCUAUUUUUAAGGAUGCGAGUUUUGGGGACUUGUGGUCCCCUUUAGGGGCUUGUUGA
rnacentral:tRNA from 1 species